CAGUUCUUCGAAUCAGGUGUGCCGAUGGGCUUGAUCGGUCCGGGAAAGGAGUCAUCCUUUAAUUUCGUAAGACCGGAGGAGAUCGAGGCUACGGCUUUGGCUUGCUUCGAGUGGGGAUCGCCGAUGGGCUUAAUCGGUCCGGGAAAGGUGUCAGCCUUUAAUUUCGUCAGACCGGAGGAGAACGACGCUUCGACUUUGGCUUGCUUCGAGUGGGGAUCGCCGAUGGGAUUGAUCGGUCCGGGAAAGGAGUCACCCUCAACGCGUUGUGGUUUCUCCGAGUUGGAUUUUCCGGUGAAACUCAUUGCAAUGUACGAAUGAAAAUUUACGACGAAGCUUAAUCGAAACGAAACUCCGUUCAAGAGUUUUAUAAACAAAAGAAGAGAAAAACGAAUCCAUAAAUGAGAGUAAAGGGAGAACGAAGUGGAGGAUGAAUCAAUUGCUCAUGAAUCAGAUCGUGAAAUGGAUCAAAGAAGAGGAAGAGGAAAGGGGAUGAGAAUCGUUCUGAUUUUGGUUUCGAAAAAACGUGAAAGAGUGCGAUUGUUUGUUAUAAUGGUUUCAUGGGCUUGAGCCCAAUCGUAACAAAUACACAAAAGAAAAACCGUGAGCCCAACAUAUUAGUGACAUGGCUAAACGCUUCAACGUGAUUGGUCGAUUUAAUUGUCCUACGUGGACAUGCUGUAUGGAGCUCAUAUAACCCUUUUAAUAUAGUAUAGACCGGAGGAGAUCGAGGCUACGGCUUUGGCUUGCUUCGAGUGGGGAUCGCCGAUGGGCUUAAUCGGUCCGGGAAAGGUGUCAGCCUUUAAUUUCGUCAGACCGGAGGAGAACGACGCUUCGACUUUGGCUUGCUUCGAGUGGGGAUCGCCGAUGGGAUUGAUCGGUCCGGGAAAGGAGUCACCCUCAACGCGUUGUGGUUUCUCCGAGUUGGAUUUUCC
rnacentral:lncRNA from 1 species